rnacentral:sRNA from 1 species
UCGUGAGCCGUCUUAACCGGAGACGAUGGAGAUGAUGAACGCGGGAUUUUUUCGUUUCGUCCCGCAGCCGACGAAGUAGCAGACGAGCGUCUAUCCAUCCGUCGC